rnacentral:rRNA from 1 species
AGUUAACGUUGAAUCCUUAGAGUUAUCUUAGUUUUUUUAGUGGGUAAAAUCAGUAUAAAGUGCUGCUGUCUCUUUAAAAAUUUGGAGGGACUAAAAAACUUCGAUUUAAAACCAGGAUUAGAUACCCUGUUAUUCUUAGUAAUAGUUAGACAGGGUAGUAAAAGUUGUUCUUCAAACCCAAAGAUUUUGGCGGCACUUCAUCCAAAUAGAGGAGCUUGCCCCUUAAUCGAUAGUCCCCGUUUUAUCUUUCCUCUUCUUGUAAAGCUUGUAUACCGCCGUUGUCAGAUUACUUUUAGAGAAUGUUUUCAAAUCAAAGAACUUUUUUACUUCAGGUCAAGGUGCAGUUCAUGUAGGGGUGGAGGUGAGCUACAAUUUUUUCUAGAAAGACGAAUGCUGAGUUUUUAAAAUGGCUAAAGGUGGAUUUAUUAGUAAAAUGAUUUAAGUAAA